rnacentral:rRNA from 1 species
UACGUAGGGUGCAAGCGUUAAUCGGAAUUACUGGGCGUAAAGCGUGCGCAGGCGGUUUUGUAAGUCUGACGUGAAAUCCCCCGGGCUUAACCUGGGAACUGCACUUGUGACUGCACAGCUGGAGUACGGGCAGAGGGGGAUGGAAUUCCGGCGUGUAGCAGUGAAAUGCGUAGAUAUGCGGAGGAACACCGAUGGCGAAGGCAGUCCCCUGGGCCUGCUACUGACGCUCAUGCACGAAAGCGUG